rnacentral:rRNA from 1 species
UGGGGAAUAUUGGACAAUGGGCGAAAGCCUGAUCCAGCCAUGCCACGUGUGUGAAGAAGGCCUUUUUGGUUGUAAAGCACUUUAAGUGGGGAGGAAAAGCUUAUGGUUAAUACCCAUAAGCCCUGACGUUACCCACAGAAUAAGCACCGGCUAACUCUGUGCCAGCAGCCGCGGUAAUACAGAGGGUGCAAGCGUUAAUCGGGAUUACUGGGCGUAAAGCGCGCGUAGGUGGUUAUUUAAGUGAGGUGUGAAAGCCCCGGGCUUAACCUGGGAAUUGCAUUUCAGACUGGGUAACUAGAGUACUUUAGGGAGGGGUAGAAUUCCACGUGUAGCGGUGAAAUGCGUAGAGAUGUGGAGGAAUACCGAAGGCGAAGGCAGCCCCUUGGGAAUGUACUGACGCUCAUGUGCGAAAGCGUGGGUAGCAAACAGGAUUAGAUACCCUGGUAGUCCACGCCGUAAACGAUGUCUACCAGUCGUUGGGUCUUUUAAAGACUUAGUGACGCAGUUAACGCAAUAAGUAGACCGCCUGGGGANNNANGGCCGCAAGGUUA